rnacentral:rRNA from 1 species
GCACAAGCGGUGGAGCAUGUGGUUUAAUUCGAUGCAACGCGAAGAACCUUACCUGGUCUUGACAUGUCCGGAAUCCUGCAGAGAUGCGGGAGUGCCUUCGGGAAUCGGAACACAGGUGCUGCAUGGCUGUCGUCAGCUCGUGUCGUGAGAUGUUGGGUUAAGUCCCGCAACGAGCGCAACCCUUAUCUUCAGUUGCUACCAUUUAGUUGAGCACUCUGACGAAACCGCCUCGGAUAACGGGGAGGAAGGUGGGGAUGACGUCAAGUCCUCAUGGCCUUUAUGUCCAGGGCUACACACGUGCUACAAUGGCCGGUACAAACCGUCGCAAACCCGUGAGGGGGAGCUAAUCGGAAAAAGCCGUCCUCAGUUCGGAUUGGAGUCUGCAACUCGACUCCAUGAAGCUGGAAUCGCUAGUAAUCGCGGAUCAGAACGCCGCGGUGAAUACGUUCCCGGGC